rnacentral:rRNA from 1 species
UACGUAGGGCGCAAGCGUUGUCCGGAAUUAUUGGGCGUAAAGAGCUCGUAGGCGGCCUGUUACGUCUGCUGUGAAAUCCCGGGGCUUAACCCCGGGCGUGCAGUGGAUACGGGCAGGCUGGAGGCAGGCAGGGGAGAACGGAAUUCCCGGUGUAGCGGUGAAAUGCGCAGAUAUCGGGAGGAACACCGGUGGCGAAGGCGGUUCUCUGGGACCUGUACUGACGCUGAGGAGCGAAAGCGUGGGGAGCGAACAGG